GAGAAAAGACAUCACUUUAAUGGCAAAAAGAGGAUCGAAAAAGUGGUGUCCAUGUGAAUGAAGCAUUUUAUCCACUUACGAGUGUUUUUUUAAGUUUUUAAAGUGGUAAAUUUUGUAAUGUAUAUUAAUAUUAAGAAGGAAAAUGGUAGCAUCCAUAGUGGUUUUAUCUUAAAAAAACAUGCAUAGUUGUUUUGGUUUCUAGUUUUAUAAAGCCUUGUGGUCUUUGAUGAUCUUCAGGUGAUAGUGUGGGAGACAAGGAAUCUCUCUCUGUUUGAUGUGUGGUGUACUAUGUUUAUCAACUUGUCCUGAGCACUUUACGUGUAUACACACUCACUUACAAGCAUUUUCUUUUUAUUUAUAGUUAAAUCAAAUGCUUAUGUUAUCUAAUUGGUAGAUGUAGUUGUAUGUACUAGUUAAUGCUCUAGAUUAGCCGAGAGUCGAUGAAAAGUUAAAACCCACCAUCAUCUUGAAAUCGGUUUUUAUCCCAUAAAUUUUGUAAGUCUUCGGAGAUGCACAUCAUUAUAAGACCUUCGUUCUAAAUUUAUUCACAUAUCUCUACACUAUAGCAAGGAAACUGAUAUGUAUCGCAGUGGUAAUUCUUUUCAGAGGACAUGUUGUUCAUAUGAUUUCAUUAUAACUCACCAAGACGGUCUUGGCAAGACCAAUACUUUUGUAGUGUGGCCGCACUCACGAUGUUUAAUCUUGGGGUCAUAAGGGCCAUCCUAACCUUGAGUAUAUAUCAGUGUCAGCUUGAAUGAAAACUAGCUCGAUUUUUUUUUUUUAAACACAAUCUAGCUCGAUAUUCAUCAUCCAUAUUUUAUAGGAAAUUGAUAUUUGGUGUAUGGAUAGACAAUCCAAAAUUUGAUCCGUUUUAAAUGUUUGUGAAACUGUUUAAACUAAAAUUCAGUAAAAUAUAUAUAUAAUGUAGCAUUCAUAUGAACAUUAAUAUGAACAGUUUUUUUUGUUUUUUUUAUGAAAUAGGCAGAGUUUAUAUAUAUGCGUAUGUUACAGCAUAGCUCUUAAUGCAUUUAGCGGAAUUCUCUAUACAUAACCGAAAGAGAACUACAGUAUAUGUUAAUCCAUUGAUCUAUAAUUAAAAUUGAACAGCAACACAUAAUGACGACAUCAUUAAAAACAUACAGAAUGAUAGCAUUCCAAAUUACUAAAUUAAUAUACCAGUAAGAAACAAUAAAAAUUAGAACAUGUAAACACCUCAUCAUAUCAAUAUAGAGAAACAUAUCUUCUUCUUUUUUUGCCAGUGUAAGUGGACUAUUCGAACUUGGUGUUAAAUCUUUUGUUUAGAAAACUUAUCUUAACAAAAAUGCAAAUAAGGUUUCUAAACAAACAAGAUAUCUUUCUUAAAUAUGAAUUAUGAAAAACAAACAAGAUAUCCUUCUUAAUAUGAAAUAUAAAAAAAUCUAAUAUUACUGGAAACAAAUACAAAAUAUAAUUUUAUAUUGUUUGAUAUUUGAAUGAAGGAUUUGUAGGGUUCGGAUCCGAAUUGACUGUUCGGUUAAAAAACGAUAAACGAAACAACAAGAAAACCAUAAAUAUGGUCCGGUUCCGUUCGGUUUAAUUUACCUAAGGUAUUGCGUCUCUAUAAAUACCUUGCUCCAAGCCUCUUCUUCACUUGCCCCUCUCACUCCCUGUCUAGUGCUUAUCGUACACACCUAUGCAUAUGUAUGUAAUGUAUACGUACAUACUCUUCUCUCACUAAAAAGAUUUUAAAAUUAAAUAAGCAUCUUUUUACCAAAAAAAAGUUAGAUCAGCAUUUAUGAUAGAAAGUUAGUACAAUAUUGGUUUGUUGCGUCUGAGACUUUUCGACAGAUCGGAAAAUAACUAACCAGUCAGUAUUUUUUUUCACGCAAUUUUAUUUGUCCCUACAAAAAUGAAUACGGUCUAAAACAGAAUAUUCCGUAUUUUGUUUGGAAACGAACCAUUUACAGAUAGACACGUCAGCCCUUGGAUUCUGGAACGUAUUCUCUCUACUUCAGUCUUCAGCUAUAUAUCUACUUUACUCGUCUCCUUGUUUCUUUCACUUCUUCUUCUCAGAUAGAAUAGACAUAGCGAAAAGAUAAAUCAGAUCUUUUUUCUGCUUGUCUAGUUAGCAAUUAUUAUUACUGACUAUUCAAUCAAAUUUCUUUUCGUUCUGUUAAUUUGUAUAGUAAUAUAUACUCGAUCUCUUUAGUGUGUGUGUAAAUCUGAUAUAAGUUCUCGACGGAUCCGUGGAAGAGAGCUCAUCAGUCGUUUUCUGUAGGUGCAGCACCAUUAAGAUUCACAUGGAAAUUGAAAAAACCCUAAAUUAUAUUAAUUAGGGUUCUGAUAUGUAUAUGAGAAUCUUGAUGAUGCUGCAUCAACAACCAACGGCUACCAAACACCUAACGCUUCAGAAAGAAAUGAUGUCUGGAUCUUCGGUAAUGCGAUGAUCAAGAACAACACGACAUUGACCACAAAUCGAAUACUUGUGUCAUUUUAAUUUUUUACUAUCUGUUAUAAACUUCGUCUCCAGACAUUUCUCAGUUUCACAACACGAUUGUAGUAACAUUUAUCCAAGUCUUUCAACUUCUAUUUCUGAGGUAUCAUUUGAUCUUAAUUCUCUGUUAUUGUUCUAAUUUGUAGUAUUAUAAAUAUGGUUUGUAUGCCAAAUCAAAUCAAACAUUAUGGAGUGUUGUACAUUGUACCAGAACUUUGUUUUCAAGUGGCUCAACUUGAGAAAUAUUUGUCCCUUUGUUUUCGUUUAAAUAUCUGUAAAAGAAAAUAAGAAGAGAGCAUGUGAACA